GCGCCCGUAGCUCAGUGGAUAGAGCGUCAGCCUCCGGAGCUGAAAGCGCAGGUUCGAUCCCUGCCAGGGGUGCCA
rnacentral:tRNA from 1 species